UACGUAGGGGGCAAGCGUUGUCCGGAAUCAUUGGGCGUAAAGAGCGUGUAGGCGGUUCAGUAAGUCCGCUGUGAAAGUCAAGGGCUCAACCCUUGAAUGCCGGUGGAUACUGUUGAACUAGAGUCCGGAAGAGGCGAGUGGAAUUCCUGGUGUAGCGGUGAAAUGCGCAGAUAUCAGGAGGAACACCGGUGGCGAAGGCGGAUCUCUGGGCCGAUACUGACGCUGAGGAGCGAAAGCGUGGGGAGCGAACAGG
rnacentral:rRNA from 1 species